rnacentral:sRNA from 1 species
CUUGGAAAGCCUUGUUGGGAUUGCGCAUGCUUCGCAGACCUUUAGCGGGUCAUAUGGAACCGUCUGGGCGCUUCCAAGCUGUUUCCAUACGUAGUAUUAUUGAAGUGCUCGCGAUUGAUAAUGACUACAGCCGCUGGAUAGUCCAAUCAACCAAGACCUUUCCUGUACCACGAGAGUUCGAAAUAUACUCCGCCUUCGUCAAUCGCACAUUAGGGACAAUAACAGCACUCACAUCCCUCCUGUUUGUGUCGAUGUUAAAGGUCAGGUUCGGUACUGAGACGAGGACAAUAACCCGGGCAUUAAUGUGCUUGCCUUGUCGCUGUUGCGUAUUAACGUACUUGUCGCUUUCACCUUCGAUCUUCGGUUUCUGCCACUUGUGGUUAGAGACGUGAACAAAUAUAUUGGUAAUCCAAGAGCUCGAUCACCUGACUGACAAGGAAUAGCCCAACUGCGACGCCCUGCGGGCUCCAUACCGUAAGAUACUGUAUCAUGCCCCUCUCCGGGAUGCCAGGGAAAACCUUCGGUAUUUUUGAAGAGCGUGGAAUAUACUGCAGUAAUCACUGGCGUUAUUUUGUCGGUACAGAUCUCAUCAUAACGCAAAAGGGACUCUCCAAUCGUGGCCAUAUUACACAGCUCCGCACUGAAUGCGUUUCGGAGUGCUCAAAAGACAUUUCCCUACCCUUUCGCGUGGCAUGCCUUUCCCGUCUCAGAGUUACAAAGUCACCCCACAGCUUACGCGGAAGAGGAGCAGAUCGGGGCUGUGCGCAAAGAUCUCAUCAGCAGAAACCCGUCGCGCAGCAGCGGUUUGAGGAGAAUGUCCGAAAUUAAACCCGUUAAGAACGUUCUUUUCUCGGUUAAAUUCCUUCAUAAUGUGGCUGGCCACUCCCCAAAUAGCUCUCUAUACAGCUCCCUUACUUAUUGGCAAUCCAUAGCUACCUUUGUCCUUUAUUAAAGGAAAACUUGGGUAACGACGGCUUGUCACGGAAUCAUUGAUUCACCAGCGGCAUUUCCUUCUGGUUAUUGCGCCACAGUUUACAAUCCCAACACGUCAAGAAGAAACUCCAGCAACUCAAGCUUCUUUUGAAUACCGCCCCUAUCUUCUCAGCCUGCCUAUCUAGUUAUCGUACAUUACCAAAUUCUCGCCCAGAUUCUCCACUCAUAUACCAGGGCCUUCAAUCUAUGUACAUUUGCCUUAUCAGCGUGCGAAUAUCGCGCAGAAGGGAAAGUGGGAAAUUUUAUUGAGGGUACGGAGGAGAAAGUUAAGCAAGAUGAAAAGGAGGAAGGUCGAAUGCACCACGACAAUCUUAGAGACAAAAUAAUAGGAGGAGCAAAGUACGGUCAGCCAAAGCAAGGAAUGCGAGUGCAAGCCAAAGUCUAGUGGGAAUGAAUGGCAAUGGGAGAAAAAGGAGUUGCCCAAGUCUUUCGGAAUCCAGGGCUGGCACGGUUCAGAAAGGCGGCGGGGUUGUCAUUUCCAUCUUCCUUCCGUGGUGGGCUUCUCUACUCGUAUCCUGGGGUUCCCGUGAAUUACCGUUGCAAAUGUUACAUUGUAUCCCAUUUGAUCAUCGACCGUCAUAUGGUAGGCAGGAAGCUAUACUGACACACUCACCGUUCGAGCCAUCCACCGCAACGGGGACGUCGUCGACCAGAACAUUGCCUGAAGCUUGAUAGCCACCACCAACUUCGACCACUUCUCCUUCUCACCCUCAAAGAUCCUUACCGCCGAGGUCUUCAUGAUAUUUGUCGAGGAAAGCACAUAGGGCUGCCAUCGUCAUCAACCGUGAUGUCACCGAGUGUCUCCUUCAAGCUUGUCAGGAUGGAGGUGGGAGCUGGGGCCGGUCUAGUUUGUUCAAGUGUACUAUUCUCAGGCGAGACGG